rnacentral:rRNA from 1 species
CCUACGGGUGGCAGCAGUGAGGAAUAUUGGUCAAUGGACGAGAGUCUGAACCAGCCAAGUAGCGUGAAGGAUGACUGCCCUAUGGGUUGUAAACUUCUUUUAUAAAUGAAUAAAACGAGGCACGUGUGCCUUUUUGCAUGUACUUUAUGAAUAAGGAUCGGCUAACUCCGUGCCAGCAGCCGCGGUAAUACGGAGGAUCCGAGCGUUAUCCGGAUUUAUUGGGUUUAAAGGGAGCGUAGAUGGGUUGUUAAGUCAGUUGUGAAAGUUUGCGGCUCAACCGUAAAAUUGCAAUUGAUACUGGCAGUCGUGAGUACAGUUGAGGUAAGCGGAAUUCGUGGUGUAGCGGUGAAAUGCUUAGAUAUCACGAAGAACCCCGAUUGCGAAGGCAGCUUACUAAACUGUGACUGACAUUGAUGCUCGAAAGUGUGGGUAUCAAACAGGAUUAGAUACCCCUGUAGUC